UAUUAUUCAAUGCGUAAAUUAUAAAUAUUUGAGUAAUAAUAGCUAUGGUCUUGAAACUCAAAGAAUUUGGCGGUGUUUUAGUCCUUUCAGAGGAAUCUGUCCUAUAAUUGAUAAUACACGAUUAUUAUUACUUAAUUUAGUUAUACAGUUUAUAUACCGCCGUCGGAAGAAGAUCUUAUGAAGAGAAUUAAUUUUCAUUAAUUUUUGAUUGAAAAGUAUGUCAGGUCAAGGUGUAGCUAAUAAUUAAGUAGAGAUGGAUUACAAUAAACUUAUUUAUAUAGAUAUAAUUUUAAAAUAAAUUAUUGAAAGUGGAUUUGAUUGUAAGUUAAUAAAUAUUUAUUUUUUGAUUUGGGCUCUAGAAUGUGUACAUAUCGCCCGUCGCUCUCGUUUUAAGAUGAG
rnacentral:rRNA from 1 species